UCAUAUAACGAUAACAGCCAACACAUAUAUUCAGUUGCAAUGUGCCCACAAAAGAACAACAAAAACACAUUCACUGUGCCUGUCUGAUCUAUCUAUUUUAUUUAACCUGGUUUGCAACUCUCGAAUCAAUGCAAUUGUGUAUAAAUACAUACACACAUCAUAUACACAAAAACCUUUCAGGUGUCUUAUAACCAUGUGCGUUUAUCUACAUACAGACCAUCCCUGACAUAUUGUGAUGGUCUAUAUCUAGCUGUCCCCCCAAACCCCAUUCGGUCCUAGUGUGGCUUUUGGGAGGUGUCUGGAUCAUGUGUUUGUGAUGAGUUUACAGCUAAAUGUGAUGUUGGAAGGUAAAGCCUGGUUGGAGGAGGUGGGUGUCUUGGUCACUUUUUACUGGUUGCUGGUACAAAAUAUUUGACACCCAAAAUUAGGGAAGUAAAGGUUUAUUUCUAAGCUAUGGGGGUGAAACCUCUGCGAACAGUGUGCCCAAAUAAAGCUCUCCUUAGAGUCGUGGGUAUGGUGUCUCAGAGAUGAGAAAACAACUGACACAUGUGAUAAAGUUAAAAUUUUUGCAGGUUUUAUGUUGUUCUUCUUGUGUUGCAAUGGCACAAAAGCAAAAGACCUUCUGGAAAAAUUGUACUUUGAAGACGGAGCUUUGGUCUUCUUCCAAAGAGGUCUGUGCUGAGGCAGACUGCCUGAUUUCUUGAAGCCAGCCCCAUUUUCUUAUUUCUGUAUAAAGUAUGCACUUCCUACUUUGCAAGCUUGUGGAGAAGAGGAAACCAGAGAUCAUUUCUAUGGAACUGAGUAUUUCCGGUACUACCUGUGAGCUGAAGGCUAUGAUUGGUUAUGAGGCAAGGAGAGAAUUUUAACCACAAUUGACCCACCAUACUUUAAUGCUGGAGACUUUAAUUCGGCCCAUGAUCUUUGAGGUACUUCCAAAAAGCUAUGGACCUGCUGCUUCAGGGCUGGAACCGGCCACCUGGGAUCAGAGUCUUUCAGGGGAGCACGGAGCCCACUCGGAAGAAGGAUGAUGCUGGGUGGCUGUGCCCAAGCAAGUGACCAAGGAAGGAGGAUUCAGAACACAGAUUGCACAGCUCCUCUGCUUCCCAGCAUGGAGAAGGAGACAGAAAAGAUCUCCAUUCGUCAUGGUCAUCGUGGGCACCACCGCCCAUAACAGAUCCUAGAGGGAGGGGGGAAAGGGAGGGAGGCCAGGAGUCGGGAAGCACGGAGGAAGACAGGAAAAGACGAGAGCAGGAAGGAGAGGGAGUGGGUGGGGGAGGAGAGGGAGAAUGGAGGGAAGCAGCUGCUCGGCCUCUGAAGCCAUGCAGAGCUCUGGGAACUGCAUGCCGAGGCCCUGAGUCCCUAGGCAAAGGCCCGAGUCUUAACCCCGUGAAGGAGAACCCCAGGAGGCAGUGGGUGUUACAGAGCACGGUGAGGGUUCAGCACCCGCCUCACUCAUUCCCUCAUAUAUUCAGAGUGUGCUCCCUCAUCUCAGAAAAAAUUGAACAAAAAAUAUUGCCCCUGGGAAAUAAGAAAGCUAUCAACCUGGUACCAAAAGUUUCUUGUCAUGACCUCAAAUCUGCAGGUGAUUAUUUGUGAAGGCGUUUCUGAUAUCCUGUAUCUCACUUGCUCAGGGUGAGUUUAGAAUUUAAAGAGCAAAGCCAGGCGUGGUGGCGCACUCCUGGAAUCCCAGCACUUGGGAGGCUGAGGCAGGAAGACUGACAUGAGUUCCAGGCCAGCCUAAGCUACAGAAGCCACUUCAAGGCCAGCCUGCGCUACUCAGUAAGCCACUGUCUCAAAAAUAAACAAAUGAAUAAACAUAAAACUUAAAUGGCA